ACGGCCAUACCAUACUGAAAACACUGGUUCUGGUCCGAUCACCGAAAUCAAGUAUCAUCGAGCGAGGUCAGUUCUUGGGAAGAUGACCAUCUGGGAGCACCAAAUGCCGUU